rnacentral:rRNA from 1 species
CACGAACUGUGCAAACGUUAUUCGGAAUCACUGGGCUUAAAGAGUUCGUAGGCGGCUUGUUAAGUCGGGUGUGAAAUCCCUCGUCUCAACCGAGGAAUUGCGCUCGAAACUGGCGAGCUCGAGUAAGAUAGAGGUGAGCGGAACUGAUGGUGGAGCGGUGAAAUGCGUUGAUAUCAUCAGGAACACCGGUUGCGAAGGCGGCUCACUGGGUCUUUACUGACGCUGAGGAACGAAAGCUAGGGGAGCGAACGGG